ACCUUGGAGGACUAGUGGUUAGGCCACAGCACUCUCAAUGCUGCGGCCCGGGUUCGAUUCCUGGCCUAACUC
rnacentral:tRNA from 1 species